CCUACGGGAGGCAGCAGUGAGGAAUAUUGGUCAAUGGACGAGAGUCUGAACCAGCCAAGUAGCGUGAAGGAUGACUGCCCUAUGGGUUGUAAACUUCUUUUAUAUGGGAAUAAAAUGUUCCACGUGUGGGAGUUUGGAUGUACCAUAUGAAUAAGGAUCGGCUAACUCCGUGCCAGCAGACGCGGUAAUACGGAUGAUCCGAGCGUUAUCCGGAAUUAUUGGGUUUAAAGGGAGCGUAGGGGGUUUGUUAAGUAAGUUGUGAAAGUUUGCGGCGCCACCGUAAAAUUGCAGUUGAAACUGGCAGUCUUGAGUACAGUAGAGGUGGGCGGAAUUCGUGGUGUAGCGG
rnacentral:rRNA from 1 species